rnacentral:lncRNA from 1 species
UAGCUUCUCUCUCACUGUGAUUGCUCCACUGCACCUUUACAAAAGGAAUCGUGCGCCUCCUCAAAACUUGGUCCUUUCUAUUUACCACACGUAUUAAGUUCUUUUGAUCUCCUUCAAAAGAAUUCCAAAUUCCCAACCUUGGAUUAAACUGUCAUAAUUAUAUCCCAAAGAAAUUAAUUUCUCUUAAUUCUACCCAGAGAUCAUAAUUGGCUUAAUAGAUAUAGGAGAAAUCUUUAGUAUCAAAUCCUCUUAAUAUUCUAUAAUCAUUUUUCUUU